UGAAUCAAGACCACGUGGCACUGUCGGUUUCCAUUUCUUCUAACUACCUUUACCUUUACAGAUCCAGUAGCAAUAGCAUCCCAAAAUCUAGGGUUUCAAUUUGGUAAUCGUUUCCCAUUUUUCUGUUACCAAUAAAUCUCUUUAACAAUGUCCAAGAUCUCAAACACCGGUUACAGCGGAAUCCCCAGCAGCACCGCCGUCAGCAGCCCCAGCACCUCCACCCUUCCACCAGGGUCUCCUUCCACAAUUUUCGCUCGGGCGAGGUUCCACACGGAGAACUUCGUCGCCAAGCGCCGCCCAUGGCGAGACUUUUUCGACUUCUCCGCCAUCUCUCGGCCGAUAAGCUACGAAGACGCCAUGUCUCGGAUCAGGCAAAAUCUCAACUACUUCCGCGUCAACUACGCCAUGGUGAUGCUUCUAAUAAUCUUCCUCAGCCUCAUUUACCAUCCGAUUUCGAUGAUUAUUUUUCUGAUCGUACUCGUUGCUUGGUUUUUUCUUUACUUCUUCCGGGAUCCUCGCAGCCCUAUUAUGAUCUUCAACCGAGUUGUUGACGACCGAGUCGUGCUAACCUGUCUGAGUUUAGUAACAAUCUUCGCCUUGGCUUUCACGAAUGUCGGAAUGAAUGUGUUCGUCUCCUUGCUCAUAGUGGCUGUGAUUGUGGGGUUACACGCGGCGUUUAGAAGCCCUGAUGACUUGUUUCUUGAUGAACAAGAGGCGGUGGAUGGAGGUUUGCUUUCCGUUGUUGGUAGCGAUUCUUCAUCUAGAGCAGCUUACAGCUUCAAUUGAUGAUCCUGAAGAACAUCUUUACCUUGCUUGACUAAUGACAAAUUUAAGGAUGCCAGAUCUCUUUAAUUCAACCAAAGCCAUGUGUCGGUUGUUUUCGAUGGGCUUACUACACCAUUUCUUUGUCCUGUCGCCUCAUAACCAUAAAGCAAAUAUUAGGCUUAGCGGAGUGGAAGUGCCAAACUCCUCGCCAUGGCUCGCAAACUAUUUGAAACACCGCCCCCUAGCUCUCACUAGGGGGCUCGCCAUUGAUGACUUGCUGCAUGCAUAGUGUGAUGAAAGAGAACGUUUCUUUUGCUUGUGAUUGGAUGCAAUAUUUCACAUUUAAAUUGAUAUAAUUAAAUUACACUUUUGAA